CCCGGCGACCGGCGCACGGGUGAGUAACACGUAUGAAACCUGCCCGUAGCAGGGGGAUAAGCGGAAGAAAUUCCGUCUAAUACCGCGUAACAACCCAUGGAGGCAUCUCUGUGGGUUUAAAGGAAGCGAUUCCGGCUACGGAUGGUCAUGCGUCGCAUUAGCCUGUUGGCGGGGUAACGGCCCACCAAGGCGACGAUGCGUAGGGGUUCUGAGAGGAAGGUCCCCCCACACUGGUACUGAGACACGGACCAGACUCCUACGGAAGGCAGCAG
rnacentral:rRNA from 1 species